GGGUUUUAAACCCUAAACUAAGCUUUUCCAUGCAAUCAUCAUUAGGGUAAAAAAAACCCUAAACUGAAUUUUUCCAUUCAAUCAGCAUUAGGGUUUUAAACCCUAAACUGAACUUUUUUCCAUUCAGUCAGCAUUAGGGUUUUAAACCCUAAACUGAACUUUUUCCUUUAAUCAGCAUUAGGGUUUUAAACCCUAAACUGAACUUUUUUCCAUUUAGCCAGCAUUAGGGUUUUAAACCCUAAACUGAGCUUUUCCAUGCAAUCAGCGUUAGGGUUUUAAACCCUAAACUGAACUUCUUCCUUUAGUCAGCAUUAGGGUUUUAAACGCUAAACUGAACUUUUUUCCAUUUAGCCAUCAUUAGCGUUUUAAACCCUAAACUGAGCUUUUUCAUGCAAUCAGCGUUAGGGUUUUAAACCCUAAACUGAACUUCUUCCUUUAGUCAGCAUUAGGGUUUUAAACCCUAAACUAAACUUUUUUCCAUUUAGCCAGCAUUAGGGUUUUAAACCCUAAACAGAGCUUUUCCAUGCAAUCAGCAUUA
rnacentral:lncRNA from 1 species